ensembl:lncRNA NDUFA6-DT NDUFA6 divergent transcript
GCACUGAACUCCCAGACUUAGCUGGGCCUCAGUGCUCUUCUUGGGUUUGGUCAUAGAGCCCAAGAGGAGGUGGAUAAGCUGCCUGACACUGAUAUGGUAAAAGGAUUAUCUGCAAAUUUCUAGCGUCAUCAAGACUGGCCUCUUUGCCCACAGGGGAGAUGGUCAGGCCAGUGUGGGGGCUAAUGAAUAAAUGCUACACUGUGCCCACUCAGGUCACGACCCCCAGGAGACCUGGAGGACUGAAUGCUGCUGCCCCCAAGGAGGAGGCUGCCGUCUUAUCCCAGGAGGGAGAGCAGGAAAAUAAAAAGGUUCAAAAGGAAGUUGCUGCGUAUCCAUCUGAGGCCUCUGAGGACAGCAAAGAGCA